CUUGCAGAUUUUUGUAAAAUGCAAACUGUACUGUAGUUGUUGAAUUUUUUCAAUUCCAGUAUUGUCUAGCAAUAAAAGUUAUCAUGGACUUAAUAGUUUGAAAAUAAAAUUAUUACCACAUUUGAGCAUGGAUUUCACAAAAGUUUAGAAACUUGCCAGUAUUUCAUGUGGUAAAAGAGCCCUCUGAAUUAAUGAUGCUGCUAGACUAUUAACCUCUAUGGCUGUCAUUGCCAAUACCACUGUAAUGUUGCAGUGGAGUAAAAAUUUGUGUGAGCUUUCCUAGAUAUUGUGGAAAUCUGAAAAAUUACCUUUUUGUGAGCAAAAUAUAAAUCUUGGUAAUUAUUAUUGAUUAUUGAAAGUUUCACAGUAUCAUUUAGAGCAGAAAAUGGUGGAAAACAAAUCAAUUUCAUCAAGCAAUUUAAAAGAAAAGCAACUCAAAAUUCUCAAAUUGAACUGCCCAUAAUUCACUCUAAAAUGAGUUCAUUGCUAGAGAACCAUCUUCCACUCUCAUCAAACUCAAGUGACAUCAAAGCAAGUCACUACAUAUUGUGUAUGCAGCCUGACUUUGAUACCAAAACCAUUUCUGCAAAGCUGUUCAUCCUAUGUACAUUACCCAUUGCUUGUGAACCCAUGGAACAACCUGGUUUGCUACCCAAAAGAUUGGCAGACUCUGUUGAAGAUAAUAUGGCUCAUGGGGUUUUGGAUAUGAACAAUAUUUCCAUCAAAUCUAUUUCUUUAGUAUUAUGUGAUGAAAAGGACCUUUUAUCUUACUGGAAUCCAGCUAUUGUAAGGAACAAUCCUGUUUUGACUAAGCAUUUCUUUGCAUCUGGUAGAAAUUAUAUUGAAUUUGAAGAGACAACUUGGUUCAUUCAUUUCAAAUGUCCUAGAAAAUCUCCAUUUCUUAUCUGCAUUGAGUAUGUCACCUCAAAUGCUGGUGUUUCAAUAUCCUGGAGAGAAGAUGAGCAAGGCAAUCCUUGUUUCUUCACAUGCGGUUCUGCAAUCAACAAUCGCUCUUUACUUCCAUACCAGGAUACCCCAAGUGCUCUUGCUACAUGGGAAGCAUUUGUUGUUGUUGAAGACAAAUAUUCUGUUUCAAUGAGCAGUGAUGGAAGUGCAGUUGACAUACCAAUAGACACAGAUCUUCUCAGAUUAUUUAAUACAGAACCAUUUUCCAAUAAUUUUAUGAGUAAUUGUAAGGAUACAAAACCAAAGAAAUGUUUGUAUUUUUAUUGUUCACUCUCUUUGCCUCUUGCCACUAUGGCCAUUGCGGUUGGAGUUUGGUCUGUAGAAACAUUAAAUUGUGCAAAAAUAUCACAGAAAGAAGCUGAAAGAAAAAUGUUGCCCAACUGUUACCCUGAAGAUAUAACUGAAUCUUGUUUACAUGGUGGAACCCAUGCUUUUAACUCUGAAUUUGUGAAUAACAAGGAUACAAGUCACCCCAUGAAACUGCCAGUGCCUGGACUUGAUAUCAACGAUGUACUUCAUAACAAUGAACUUCAGUCUUCCGUCCCUGUGAGUGGCAAACGUUCCUCGGAGAGUACUUCCAAACCUAGUGGAUCUGUUGGAAAUCUUCCAUCUUCUUUGGUGUAUCCAACAUCUUUGAGCCAUCGUUUGGAGCCUCUCAGGCAGUUCCUACCACAUUGCCUUGCUGCUGCAGAAGAGCUGCUUGGUCCUCAUCCAUGUCCCCGCCUUGAGAUAGUAGUUCUGCCUCAAAGCUAUGCUUCACUAGGACUGGCAUCACCCAAUCUAAUAUUUCUUGCUCAAUGUAUUGCCACUGCAGCUGAUUCUUCCAUGUUCUUGAGGAUAGCUCAUGAGAUAAGUCAUGCAUGGUUCGGGAUCAUCAUUGGUGCUGAAGACUGGACCGAGGAAUGGUUGAGUGAAGGAUUUGCAACAAUGGCUGAAGAACUCAUUUAUGAGAAAGCCUACAGAUCUUUUCAAAUUUCAUUGUUAUCAGGAAACAGAAUGUUGGAACAGUGUGAUGAAAAUCUUGCAUUCACAGGUGAAACUUGCAAGACUCUUUCUCAAAUUACACACUCGCGCUUACAUGAAGAACCAACAUGCAAUUCAAAUUUCCCUUUUGAGAAAGGCCGAUCUGAAUCUAAUGCUAUCAUUCACCUCCGUGAUAAAGUAACGAUGAGUGAUUCUAAUUCUACUGCAAGUUUCAACAAUUUUGAAUUAAUUCUUUCAGAUUCACAUGUUCACAAGCGUUUGAAAAUUCAAAAUUCGGCCGGUGAAGACAUCAGGCUGACCCGCCCCAAUUUGGAUUCCUCUUCAUGGAAAAAUACUAUAGCUUCAUGUAGCGCUGAUACAAUACUGGAACUGAAGGAAAUACGAAUUUAUCUCCGUUAUCGCAAAUUAGUACAAGAAAUAGAAGUCAGUGAAGAGAGUUUACAGACUCUGCAGCCUAAUGCAGGUGGCUCUGUUGAAAGUACAAAUUACGUACUUAAUGGGCUCCAGCGCGAUAAGCCUUUCCUGAACGUGCACUAUCUCAAAGGAUUUUUCUUAUUGAGGAAUUUGUGUGAUAAAGUUGGAGAUAGUAACUUUAAGAUUUUCAUAAAAAACUAUGUUUCAAAAUUUAGUGGCCACCUCGUCACCUCUGAUAAAUUCGCUGAUCACUUUUUCAGUUUUUUCCCAAAUAUCUCCGAGUCAAAGAGCAAAUUACUUUCUGACUGGCUUCAAAAACCUGGAAUCAAUGAUGAGCUCAAGCAAACUUUCGGACAAUUUGAGAACCCCCUUUCGAAAGCUCACUGUGAAUUUUGGCUCAAUUUCAACCGCAAACCGAAGACUAUAAAAAACCACCAAAGUAUCCCUGAACUAGAGCAGUUAGUCUAUCCCGAACAUCUACAACUAUUUUGUGAAUAUCUUUUGGAAACUGAGCAGCGUUUGUGUAAAACGACAAUGCUUUCUAUUGAUCAAACUUACAACUUAUCCCAUCAAAACUGUGAAGUAUGUCACGCUUGGUGCGAGCUCAUCAUAAAACAUGACCACAGGCCGGGUGCAGCAUGCGUCAAGAAGUUUCUUGUCGAGGCGCAGGCAAUGGGCAUUUAUCUUUACGGCGAGCUCAUGAUUUCUGGUACUAAGUUCUGGCAAAACUUAGCUCGAUCUACUUACGCAUCUCUGAAAGACUCUAUGGAAGAAAACACUCGACUUAACAUCGAGGAGAUGCUGUAUCCCCAGUGAAUCGAGACUAUCGCUGCUACGUUUUGACAGUUUGGUGGCCUGGAUGCUUCUGGUCUUGGAUCCGUCACACGUGAAGAAGCUGCUUUGGUAAACGAGUUACUGGAAAAAUAGGCGACUUGUUGAUGAGUUCCCCGAAGAUACAACCCGCCGCCCAGAUGUCGACGCCCUCCGUGUACUGCCGUGCCCCGUACAGCAGCUCAGGCGCGCGGUACCAACGCGUCGCUACCUGCGGCCAGAGACGAGGGUAGAACUAUACUCGUGACCUGAGUGCUGUGAAAAACUGACCUAUAACAUCUCCUCCCAGCGCGUCGCUACCUGCAGCCAGAGACGAGGGUAGAACUAUACUUGUGACCUGAGUGCUGUGAAAAACUGUCCUAUAACAUCUCCUCCCAGCGCGUCGCUACUUGCGGCCAGAGACGAGGGUAGAACUAUACUUGUGACCUGAGUGCUGUGAAAAACUGUCCUAUAACAUCUCCAACCAGCGCGUUGCUACCUGCGGCCAGAGACGAGGAUAGAACUAUACUUGUGACCUGAGUGCAGUGACAAACUGACCUAUAACAUCUCCAACCAGCGCGUUGCUACCUGCGGCCAGAGACGAGGAUAGAACUAUACUUGUGACCUGAGUGCAGUGACAAACUGACCUAUAACAUCUCCAACCAGCGCGUCGCUACCUGCGGCCAGAGACGAGGGUGGAACUAUACUUGUGACCUGAGUGUUCUGAAAAACUGACCUAUUACAUCUCCUCCCGCCCCUCCCCAACACUACUUUACUAGUCGUCACUACUAGGAUGGGUUAUGACGUGACUGAGAGUUCAAACUCUGUCCUAUGCUGUCACUUUGAUUACCUGCGGCCUUGAUAUCAAAAAAUGAAUAAAAACGGCUUUUCAAGCUAAACCCACCUAGCAUAGCCGAGCAAUCCGCCGCUACCGUACUUCGGCCGCUAUGUGUUCUUUAGUAAGUUCUUGUAAUACGGCUUCAUGUUCUUAGAUGAGAGUAGCAUUGACGAUGGUGAAUAUACUGCUAGAUGCAAAGAUUAAAUUAUAGCAAUUUUUCUUCGUUAUUAUUUGAAGAAAAUAUUAAUAUAUUUUUCUUCAAAAUAUCCGAUAGAAUGAAAGUUCUAUUCUUCCUACUUAUUUGCUUAAUAAGUCUUCAUAAAUGCUCCUAGUGCAUGAAAAAUCGACCAUUGGAUGCAAGGAUCGAAGUUCAAGAAAAUUGUGGCUGCUUCGGAUGAGAAUUUACACGAAAUUUUCUAUAUAAUUUCCAGUGAGAUGUGAGGGAUGAAAUCUCUAUGAGCAUGAAUAAAAUAAACAAUAGAAUAAUUUAAGCUUCAUCUCUAAUAGCGGCAAUGACUUCAACCUGUCAGUCUGGUUCUAAAUGUUG